rnacentral:rRNA from 1 species
UACGUAGGGGGCAAGCGUUAUCCGGAAUUACUGGGUGUAAAGGGAGCGUAGACGGUAAUGUAAGUCUGGAGUGAAAGGCGGGGGCCCAACCCCCGGACUGCUCUGGAAACUAUGUCACUAGAGUGCAGGAGAGGUAAGCGGAAUUCCUAGUGUAGCGGUGAAAUGCGUAGAUAUUAGGAGGAACACCAGUGGCGAAGGCGGCUUACUGGACUGUAACUGACGUUGAGGCUCGAAAGCGUGGGGAGCAAACAGG